rnacentral:rRNA from 1 species
GACGAACUGUCCUAACGUUGUUCGGAAUCACUGGGCUUAAAGGGCGCGUAGGCGGUCGACCAAGUCAGGGGUGAAAUCCUGCAGCUUAACUGUAGAAGUGCCUUUGAUACUGGUCGUCUCGAGGGAGGUAGGGGUGUGCGGAACUUCCAGUGGAGCGGUGAAAUGCGUUGAUAUUGGAAGGAACGCCGGAGGCGAAAGCGGCGCACUGGACCUCUUCUGACGCUGAGGCGCGAAAAGCUAGGGGAGCAAACGGGG